UGCUUGCACCUGGUGGCGAGUGGCGAACGGGUGAGUAAUACAUCGGAACAUGUCCUGUAGUGGGGAUAGCCCGGCGAAAGCCGGAUUAAUACCGCAUACGAUCUACGGAUGAAAGCGGGGGACCUUCGGGCCUCGCGCUAUAGGGUUGGCCGAUGGCUGAUUAGCUAGUUGGUGGGGUAAAGGCCUACCAAGGCGACGAUCAGUAGCUGGUCUGAGAGGACGACCAGCCACACUGGGACUGAGACACGGCCCAGACUCCUACGGGAGGCAGCAGUGGGGAAUUUUGGACAAUGGGCGAAAGCCUGAUCCAGCAAUGCCGCGUGUGUGAAGAAGGCCUUCGGGUUGUAAAGCACUUUUGUCCGGAAAGAAAUCCUUGGUUCUAAUAUAGCCGGGGGAUGACGGUACCGGAAGAAUAAGCACCGGCUAACUACGUGCCAGCAGCCGCGGUAAUACGUAGGGUGCGAGCGUUAAUCGGAAUUACUGGGCGUAAAGCGUGCGCAGGCGGUUUGCUAAGACCGAUGUGAAAUCCCCGGGCUCAACCUGGGAACUGCAUUGGUGACUGGCAGGCUAGAGUAUGGCAGAGGGGGGUAGAAUUCCACGUGUAGCAGUGAAAUGCGUAGAGAUGUGGAGGAAUACCGAUGGCGAAGGCAGCCCCCUGGGCCAAUACUGACGCUCAUG
rnacentral:rRNA from 1 species